CCCACGGGGGGCAGCAGUGGGGAAUAUUGCACAAUGGGGGAAACCCUGAUGCAGCGACGCCGCGUGAGCGAUGAAGUAUUUCGGUAUGUAAAGCUCUAUCAGCAGGGAAGAAACUGACGGUACCUGACUAAGAAGCACCGGCUAAAUACGUGCCAGCAGCCGCGGUAAUACGUAUGGUGCAAGCGUUAUCCGGAUUUACUGGGUGUAAAGGGAGCGUAGACGGACUUGCAAGUCUGAAGUGAAAGCCCGGGGCUCAACCCCGGGACUGCUUUGGAAACUGUAGGUCUAGAGUGCUGGAGAGGUAAGUGGAAUUCCUAGUGUAGCGGUGAAAUGCGUAGAUAUUAGGAGGAACACCAGUGGCGAAGGCGGCUUACUGGACAGUAACUGACGUUGAGGCUCGAAAGCGUGGGGAGCAAACAGGAUUAGAUACCCCGGUAGUC
rnacentral:rRNA from 1 species